GGGGCCAUAGCUCAGCUGGGAGAGCGCCUGGAUCGCACCCAGGAGGUCGCCGGUUCGAGCCCGGCUGGCUCCA
rnacentral:tRNA from 1 species